UACACUGUGACUCAUUCAUCAGGCAUUCAAACAUUUUUAUUUUCUUCAAAUGUCUGGAGUUUGAAUCAUCCAAAUCUCCAUCAAAAGAAGAAGCAAGCAAGAACUUUCUCCUUUCUGAUGAGAUGUUUUGACAAGAGGCUGUGUCUUUCACCAGCAAAUGCAGCAAAGCGUGGCAUUCAUAGCUCCUGCAAUGUAGAUGAAAACUGGGGAAGCCCGAAGAUCAUUUAGGAUAGCGUCAAUAUUUAAAAAACAGGUGGAAACCUACGGGGAGGGCAGAGCACCGAACUUUGAGCUUAAACUCCUUGAGGAACAGAUUGGAGAUUCAAGAAGCCGAGGGUAAUACACAGUUUACAGCAGAGCACUAGAGAAAGCAAAUGCUUCCUCCAUGCUGUACACAUUUACAAGAGCUGAGAGAAGAAUGAAUUCUCCAAAAAUGCCAGUGUGGAAUUAGAACAUGUAUGGGAAAUGUUGAAUCACAGCCUUAACCACUGAUUGACCACCUGAGGCAAACACUGAGUCAGCCCUGGGAGCACAGGUGAAGGCAAUUCAGCUGGGUGAUUGGAAGAGGUGGAGCCUGGCUGCAUCUCUCCUAGACCCCAUUUAAGGGCUGACUGACAUGAGGGUCUCUUUCUGGAGAUUGCUUUUCUUGGAGUUUUCCCUGUGAGCACCUAGAACACAGAGCUGUAAUGGGAAGCAUAAGCUUGGGAGUGUAACACUGGGAAGGGAUCUCUUUUGCCAAGUCAUCGAUAGAGGCAGUGAAAUAGCCUAGGCUGAGGAGCCUUUUGGCAUGGAGUUCCUUCUUGGCCAGGCUUCAGGAGGUAGUUUUCCUUAGAGUGUUUGUGUGAUUGUUUCAGUAAGAACAGCAGCAGAACUCCUUCAGUGUCAGGCUGCCUCAGGUCCUUCCAUCGUAUGUGGCCACGAGGCAAUGGUGCUCAUCCAGAUUCUGCAGGGACCAUGUAGGUAUCUGCUGGAAUUCAUCAUCAGGAGGCUGCUCUGUGCAUUUUGCUGGACAACAUAUGCACAAAAAUAUUUUCAAACUAAAUGCAGAUGGUUCUAAUCCACUGAUAAUUCAAUCUACAUGCAUCCCAAGCUUUAACAUGAACCAAGCCAUCUGUAAAAUGUUAGUUACAUUAGGAGACACAAAUUCACAAGUCUAGUUUUUUACAAGAGCUGAGCCAAUCAAUGUGACGUUAUUUCUUUGAUCUGCAUGUUUUCUGGAGUAAUGGCAAGAAACCAAAAGUCACCACAAAAUCAGUCCAAGCCAUAAUGCAGCCUUAAAACUACUGGGCACUCUGAUUAGGGGUUUUGCUGCUGAUAGAAUGUCUCAGUUCACCACAUGCAUUCCAGUGGUGAAUCAGAUUUUUUUUUUUCUGCAGAAACAAACUUAGAGGAUAAAUGGUGCUUGCAAUCAUUUAGCAAGCUGUAAGAAUACUAAAAAGAGAAACUAGUACCAUCCACCAAACUACUCUCCAAGCCUUGGGGAAGGACAGAAGCCCUUGAUAAGAGCAUGAGACUACACACUAAGGUGACCCAAAUGUAGUUUUUCACUUGCUGCCUGAGGUAUGCUUGUGUUUUCAGUAGUAUCCCUUUUCCACAUAUGGGCCCAAGAGGCAUAGGAAACCUGUCACUGCAGACAAACUUUUAUUGUUUCCUUUACCUGAAACUCAAAUAUUCUAAACAGUGAUGGUUUCAUUUUGAUGACAAACCAACAUCUACAAAUGCCUGAUGCUGCUGCUUGCCUUCUCAGCUUUGUUGUCAUUUGUCUUCUCCUCCGCAAACCAGAAUACCAGUUACUUCUCCCACACUGUUAAAAGAUGUGAGGCAACUCUAUCCCUUGAUCCACACCAGCAGUGUGAUGUGCCAUUGAAGAAUGAAUGGAAAUGGUCUUACCCAGGUAUGUCAUCAGUACAACUAACCCUCCAGAUAGUUGCAGCUCUAAAGUAUGGUGGUUGUGUGAAAUAAGAUGGAAGGGACAAGACCAAAAAAGAAAGCCCUUUCAGUGCAGAUCUCUUGGGCUGCAAAACAUUACUUUAAGCACAAAAUAUAACAGAACAGCUAAUGUGGUGAGCCAGGAAAAAUAAGAGGAAUAGAUCAUCUUCCUCCUUCUUAUGUUAUCACCCGUUCUUUCCCAACAAGAAAGUUGACAGUCUUUAUGGAAAGAACAUUUAAAUCAGAUUUUGAUCUCUAUAAAUUUUAACAGCUGGAACAGUAAAAAAUAGAACAGCUCACAGUUGGUUUCUAUAUGAAGAAAUGCUGGAGAUAUCUCUAAAUCCUUUGAUUUGGCAGAGAAAAGCAGUAUGUAUUGCCAAUAUACUCUGAUGCAUCUUUUAUUCAGAAAGAAAGAGUCAUUCGUUAUCAUGUAUACUUCAACCACAGCAUGCAGAGAAAAGGGGAGGAAAUCUUUAGAAGUCUUCCAUGGGAGCAGGGAGAGCAUCACACCUUUGAAGUAACCGGGGCUGUUAGGAACAUUCUUGAUUAAAUCUGAAACAAAGAACGACCGGUUGUGAACUGAGACUGGAACAGGGAAUCAGCCUGGCAGGGCAGUCUGAGCCAAAAAAAAGAAAGUCCUUACAUUGCAGAGCAGAAAAGUAUAUGGUAAAAGAAUUAGCAGGGUAAAUAGAAAAAACACUAAGAAGUCCAGCUUCGAAAAGGACUGGGUUGCCUGAUUAGAAAUGUGGUAAAGGGUUCUACAGAGCAUAUGACAACUGUGUACUCAGCACAAUGUGUAGGAAGAGUAAGAAAAAUUGCCAUGUAAGAAUGUUCAUCAUAACAGCAGAACUGGAGAAUUUGCUCAAAAACAACAAUAAACUAUGCUAUUCAUAACAUCACGGGAAUGGCUAAUGAAAGAUAUUUCUUCUAAAUUUGACACAGUACUGUCCCAAUAUACUUGUUCUCCUCAGCUAGGAAGCCCUGAGGGAAGUUUGCCCUUCUCAUAGUUUAUUUCCUUUAAAAACAUAUUAAACCUCUGUAGAGAUGGAGCUGCAGGAUUAAUUUUGAUGCUUUGAAUUACCUGUGGAAAUCUUACCUCCUUUGGCUGCUCUUUAAAGGAUGAAUUCAUGAGCACCUGGAUAUUAAAUGAAACUUUUGUCUUUAAUGCCAGUCUUGCAACUUCAGCAAUAUUAGUUUUUGAAUAAUGUUUUUCUUUCUUCUUUGCAAAGCCUUGCCUUUGCGUGGGACUCCAUUUGUGUAUUAUGUGGUGCUCAGGCAGAAAAGUUCUCAUACCUUGCUUCUAGACUAAUAGAUUUUCUGCAUUUGGUGAUAAACCCUGAGGGCUGUGGUCCUGACACGUGAAAGAUCUCAUCUGAGAAGCCUGUCACAGGAGGAGACCUGUUCCUAUUCACAAAUGUAACAUUUAAAGUGAAAUAAAAAGACUGAGUUGCUCCAGGCACUCACCCCUGCCUUCAGCAUGAUUUCUCAAGCAUUAUAAACCACAUAAAAGGACAAAAGGAUACUUCAGUGCCAGGCCAGAAAGACCUGAGCCAUGAAAUACCUUUCCAGGAUGAAGAUCACAGAUAUCAAGAUCAUGCACCAAAAAGAAAAGGUAAUUUUCAACUUUAUUAUAUUCUCAUGACCAAUGAGAAAAUAGGUUACUUAGGAAAUUAUUUAAAGCCUACUCAUCAAAGCAAAGACAGCAAAAGCCAGAUUUGGUUGUACAUUGUCUCUCUUGCUGCCAUCUACUGUUUUUGCAUGGAAGAUUUCAAACACUGUACCAUGAUUUUUCCUCUGACCUACUGCAUUAACCCUACCUACAGUCUGGCAAAAUUUCCUGGACCGUGCAGAUGGAUGUCAUUCAAGCUGUUAUAUUCACUCCGUGCUUCCAGGAAACAGCAAACACAGCUCCUUCAUUUGCAGAGCUGUUGGUACUGGAGAUGUCUACUCUGAUUGACGUUUCUUGUGACCACCUGCAGGAAAACCAUCCCCUGGCAGGAAAGGCUGAUGCUGGCUGCACACCAGAAAGGCUCCACAGAAGUUGUUCUGUUCAUUCUAUGUGAGCUGAAGGGCACUGGGAAUACAUGAAAUACCGCUCAGAAGUGAAAAACCGCAAAAACUGUUGUGCAGCAUCCAUCUCUACAUGAUUGCUGCAUGAACAUCAUUCCUGUGCUUAAUAAGAGGGAUAAGCCAGACAGUUUUUGGAAGCUUUUCUCAGACUGUCUUUGCUUGGAAAGAGCCUGGUUAAUUUUUCUCAUUUUCUUCUAAAGGAGAACCUAAAGUAGUUGAUGGUGAUAUUCCUGAGUGCUCUGCUCUCCCUGAAACAUGGGCAACCUGUGACAGAGGCAUCAAGUAGCAUUUUUCCCUUUAUGCAAGGGAGCAUCUAUUCUGUGUAGAAUCAGAUCAUGUUUCUUCACUUUUUAAAUGCAAA